rnacentral:misc_RNA from 1 species
UUUUAUAUUGCUUGUUUUAUCUGACGAUACAAAUUCAGAGUAUGUGGACUCCGGCGAGCUCGCGUCGGCAGAAUUGAUCUUCCGCCAACGGCUGUUUCCAACGUCUCGCCGAAGUAACGUCGAGUUGUCAAGGGUGGGAGUUCCUUUUCAGGAGUCUCGGUAAUGAUCCUUCCGCAGGUUCACUGUAAACGUUAGUUGGGAAUUACUAGAUAGAAAGAAAACUGACCCUACGGAAA